UACGUAGGGUGCGAGCGUUAAUCGGAAUUACUGGGCGUAAAGCGUGCGCAGGCGGUUUUGUAAGCCGGAUGUGAAAUCCCCGGGCUAACCUGGGAAUGGCAUUCGGGACUGCAAGGCUGGAGUGCGGCAGAGGAGACUGGAAUUCCUGGUGUAGCAGUGAAAUGCGUAGAUAUCAGGAGGAACACCGAUGGCGAAGGCAGGUCUCUGGGCUGGACACUGACC
rnacentral:rRNA from 1 species